rnacentral:rRNA from 1 species
ACGUAGGGUGCGAGCGUUAAUCGGAAUUACUGGGCGUAAAGCGUGCGCAGGCGGUAAUGCAAGACAGAUGUGAAAUCCCCGGGCUUAACCUGGGAACUGCGUUUGUGACUGCAUUGCUGGAGUGCGGGAGAGGGGAGUGGAAUUCCGGGUGUAGCGGUGAAAUGCGUAGAUAUCGGGAGGAACACCAGUGGCGAAGGCGGCUCCCUGGCUCGGGACUGACGCUCAUGUGCGAAAGCGUGGGGAGCAAACAG